AACAUCUAGUCUUAACAAAUACACAGAAAGAAGAUAAAGAGAAUGCUAUAAACAGUUUAGAGAAACAAAUAGACAAAGAAGAAUACUGGCUGCCCACACUUUCGGCUCUGGCUCCCGCCCAUCACUGACUCCGGCCCCUCCCACCACUGGUAUGGGACCCUGAUGGAUUACCACCAAGCAAAUGGACCUCCAGACAUAAAAAAGAUUUCCCAACCCUGGUCUACAAAAGGAAAGUUUGCUAGUGCCUGAGUAUUGUCUUGAAACAUCCCUAGCACCCUAAUUGACAGAAUCAGAAUGGUAGUCACACGUGGUCCUACCUAACACACUUUCCUACCACUGUUUGGGUUUAUGCUGUUAUUGCCAUUGGUAAAAUUCUACCAAGGUGCACUCCCCACAAUAACGAAGCAGUGAAGGGCAGACUUAGUUUAGCCCAUGGUCCAUUCACCAUCAGUUCCUGACCUUGGAGAGACUUCUUUGGAGGAAGGGACUUGGGACCAUGAGGAGAACCCUGCUCCAGUUUCAAACCUGGGGGAACCUGCAGUUAUCCAAAAGCAGCCUGAAGAGCCCUAUGGCAGGGAUGCUUUACUUGGGCCUUUGACCUCAUCCUGAGUCCUGCCUUGAUCUACAGUUCUUUCCCAUCACUUUCCGAAACCCUGGUCCUCAGGAACAAAGGUGGCAGCAGACCCAACAAGAAGUCCAGAGUUGCCUGAGGAGUGCUCAUUGGGAUGUCAGCCAGCUCUCUUGCCAAGGGUCUCAUCAGGAGAAGAGAGAGGAUACAACUGGCAGGUUUGCAUGCAGGCCCUCCUCCCUCUUUAAGACCAAUCACAUUCUUUUGAAUGCCUGAAGAGGGCUUUUGUCUCUGCUGGGCUUGGGUUCCAGGGCAUGUCAAGCCAUCACUAUGCUGAAGCUAAGUGGAUCUGGGUCUGGUCAAUGUCAGGAUGGGAGACCCCCUUGGAAGCCUGUGAAUGCAAGCUUGACUUCCAAGGUGGAAGAAAAGCUGGAUAUAAAUGUACUAAAUUAAACUAAAAUGGUUGUUGGAGGGGAAGCUGUCUUUGCGAGUGCUUGCCUCUCCCCAGCUUCACACACACACAGAUGAAAAAAAGUCCUGGGUCAAAUCACUUUUCAUAACACUGCUACAACUUUGUUCUGUAUGGCAUCCCAGACUGAUUUGAUGCUCUCCCUAGUGAAAUUUCUCAGGUUCAUAUCUGUGUCUUUCGCUGGAAAUUGAAGACACUUUUAAAAGGUUUUCAGUGUGUAACCCUAGUUUUGUUCCUGUCCGUUUUAAUGUGUAACAUCUUUUACUUUUGCUCUUGUAAGGGUGGGUUGUAUUUUUGCUUGCUUAUUUUUGUUUAUAAGUGUUGUAUAUUUUCAACUGUCUUUUGGGUGGGUAGAAAUGGUUUGUUAUUGUACUUGCAUUUCUGUUGAUUAUGCUAUAUGGUUUUAUUAUUAUGCUGUACUCCACUCUGGGGACUUCUUCUAUAUAUAGUUUUGGGUCUACAUGAGAAAAGGCAUCAUUCGAGAACUGCACUGCAGUCCAGCUUUUAGUGAGGAAGUAAAACUAGCAUAGCUAGAGCAUUAAGGCUGCAGUCUUAUGCACACUCCUAUGCAAUUUAUUAUUGCUAUUGUCAUUGUCCUUACUGUUAGAAGAAUACACACUUUUUGGUAAUGCUACGGGGCCUCUUAAACUUGACAGAGCUGAAGGCCUCAGCAUGUACGUGGUUUCAGAUGUUUAUUGUAGUAUUUUUACUUUAAAUAUACAGUAUAUUAUUCUUUUCUACAACAAAAUACUGCUUAUUCCCAAGUGACUGUGUUUAGCAUCAGGGCAGUAUAGUCAUAAUGGUGCUGUUUUAUGUUGGGUUUAAAAAUGCAAAACUGUACAUGCUCAGAGUAUUCCUGUUUUUAAUCAGGGUGGGAAAAUCUUUUUCUUUUCUUUUUCUUUUAUAUAUCAGCAAUGUAGGAUGGUAUAAGACCAUUAAGUCCAGGUUCUAAAAUUAUGUAACUGCAGCACUGGAUUGAAAGGAAGGAGUGUACAUACCCAGAACUCUUGGUCAUUUGAUCAGUGAAUGGGGCCACCCAAUGGCCAUUCUCAUUCCCAUUCCCAUUCCCCUAUAACCACAAGGCAGCAGAGAUCUUCUGGGAGAAAUGGAGAAGGAACCCCUUACACUCUUCAUUCUCUGGCUAAUGACUGGGACCCGGUUGGACUACUGCUCCUUGCUGGCAUUAAUGGUUAACCUCUUUUUCAGUCCACACCUUUUUGACGCAGUCAACUGAACAAUCCCAUCAUCAUUUGCCACUCAAAAUUAGUGAAGUUGCUGCACUAGUAGGAAAUCAGAACAGUAGCAACAAAACAGUUAAUUAAAUGAGGGUGAUGAUUUGGAGCUUUAUGUCUCCAGGAUAAUUCCACUGACAAAAUGCAAAUCAUGUUACUUGAAGCAGUCCAAAUCAGUAUCACCCCAUUAGAGCCUGCAGUGGUUGUUCACGUUUAUGUCCUUCAUGGAUCUGGACUAGAUGUUGUACGAGAAAUCCAACACACACUUUGGAGGGCCAAUAGCAAACAGAGAUAUGGGUAAAUGAAUAUUUAAACAGCACAAAUAUUAACUCACUGUGUUUUCUUGACAAACCCAGCCAUUAACGGGAAAGGUUAAUUAUUUGAUAUACUCAUAUCUGCAGAUUGCAGACAACAGUAUAUUCUGGGCUCCUCUCUCCACUGCCCCUUCCCAGAUGUACACAGCAUAGAAAGCUACAUCUCCCUCUUGGGAGGGGAUGGGAGAGGGCUUCCUUAAUGAGUCUGAACCUUUUUGCUUCAGGGGUCAGUUUAUAUUACUGGAACAGGCUGUAUGCUUCCAUGAAUGGAACUCAACUAAUCUUCUUUGGGAGUUCAUAUGCUCAGUUCACAAUAAGAUUAUGGUCUUUAAUAAUUAUUUUACAAAAGAAUAAAAAGUGUACAAGAUUAUGAGGGGCAGUUUUAUUA